rnacentral:rRNA from 1 species
AUUGAACGCUGGCGGCAUGCCUUACACAUGCAAGUCGAACGGCAGCACGGGAGCAAUCCUGGUGGCGAGUGGCGAACGGGUGAGUAAAGUAUCGGAACGUGCCCAGUCGUGGGGGAUAACGUAGCGAAAGUUACGCAAAUACCGCAUACGAUCUAUGGAUGAAAGCGGGGGAUCGCAAGACCUCGCGCGAUUGGAGCGGCCGAUAUCAGAUUAGGUAGUAGGUGGGGUAAAGGCUCACCAAGCCGACGAUCUGUAGCUGGUCUGAGAGGACGAACAGCAACACUGGGACUGGGACACGGCCCAGACUCCUACGGGAGGCAGCAGUGGGGAAUUUUGGACAAUGGGCUCAAGCCUGAUCCAGCCAUGCCGCGUGCAGGAUGAAGGCCUUCGGGUUGUAAACUGCUUUGGUACGGAACGAAAAGGGUUGACUUAAUACGUUGGACUCAUGACGGUACCGUAAGAAUAAGCACCGGCUAACUACGUGCCAGCCGCCGCCGUAA